rnacentral:rRNA from 1 species
GACAGAGGGAGCAAACGUUGUUCGGAAUUACUGGGCGUAAAGCGCGUGUAGGCGGUCCGGAAAGUCGGGUGUGAAAGCCCUGGGCUCAACACAGGAAGUGCACUCGAAACUCCCAGACUGGAGUCCCGGAGAGGAUGGCGGAAUUCUCGGUGUAGAGGUGAAAUUCGUAGAUAUCGAGAGGAACAUCGGUGGCGAAGGCGGCCUUCUGGACGGUGACUGACGCUGAGACGCGAAAGCGUGGGGAGCAAACAGG